AGCACGUUAUGGUGGGCGACUCUAAGGAGGACUGCCGGUGGACGAAGACCGGAGGGAAGGUGGGGAUGACGUCAAGUCAUCAUGGCCCUUACGGCCUGGGCUACACACGUGCUACAAUGGUCGGUACAAAGGGUUGCCAAGCCGCGAGGUGGAGCUAAUCCCAUAAAACCGAUCGUAGUCCGGAUCGCAGUCUGCAACUCGACUGCGUGAAGUCGGAAUCGCUAGUAAUCGUGAAUCAGAAUGUCACGGUGAAUACGUUCCCGGGCCUU
rnacentral:rRNA from 1 species